rnacentral:lncRNA from 1 species
CCCCUUCUGCGGUCCCCUCCAUUGUCUGCGUGACAAAGUGGACGUAGAACUCCCCCAUUUCCUGCCCAGGGCGGGUGAGGACCCUGCACACACACGGUGUGUUUGUGAGCUGUGCAGAGUGGGGUCUCCCUGGCAAUGGCCACAGCCUCCAGGGGCGCUGACACCUCCCGUCUAACUGGUAGACAGUUUCUGCCUCUUCUUGUUUGGGGAUUGGAGAGGGAAGUGCGUCUGGAUGACUACUAAGAUGAGGAGGCUGAGGCCUAGUGCUCCUAGCGGGCUUGGUCAAGAGCAGGAGGCGGAGGUGGUGGAAGGCUGUUUCCCUGCGAGAAUACACUGCAUCGAACACAGAACAAAAAGACUCACUACAACGCUGCAGCCACAAUAGUGUGUGAUUUCAAGUCUUAAAAACCAGAAUCACUUUCUUCUCUGGACUGGAAGCAUAUUUAUUU